rnacentral:rRNA from 1 species
UACGGGGGGAGCAAGCGUUGUUCGGAUUACUGGGCGUAAAGGGCGCGUAGGCGGCUUCGUUAAGUCGGACGUGAAACCCGGCUCGGACCAAGCACUGGACUCGCGUCGAUGCAGGCGCUGGAAUCCGGGAGAGGGAUGUGGAAUUCCAGGUGUAGCGGUGAAAUGCGUAGAUAUCUGGAGGAACACCGGUGGCGAAGGCGGCACUCUGGGCUGGUACUGACGCUGAGGAGCGAAAGCGUUGGGUAGCGAACAGG